UCGCACCUACCGAUUGAAUGUUUCGGUGAAGAUUCCGGACCGUGGCUCGCGUGCUUCACGGCGCUCCUGCCGUGGGAAGUUAUCUAAACCUCAACAUUUAGAGGAAGGUGAAGUCGUAACAAGGUUUCCGUAGGUGAACCUGCGGAAGGAUCAUUA
rnacentral:rRNA from 1 species